UGAUCCCCAAAUUCAUCGGGCCAUUCGCUAAAAGGAACGAUCGUUGUGAUAUGAGUUGUUUCCUAACAUAUCACAGUGAUUUUCCUUUAUAACGCAUGUUUAAAGUCCACAACUCAUCAAG
rnacentral:pre_miRNA from 15 species